rnacentral:rRNA from 1 species
UUCGACCUCAAAUCAGGUAGGAUUACCCACUGAACUUAAGCAUAUCAAUAAGCGGAGGAAAAGAAACCAACAGGGAUUGCCUUAGUAGCGGCGAGUGAAGCGGCAAUAGCUCAAAUUUGAAAUCUGGCACUUUCAGUGUCCGAGUUGUAAUUUGAAGAAGGUAUCUUUG